UUCUAGGUGAUAUGGUUUGACUGUGUCCCCACCCAAAUCUCAUCUUGAAUUGUAACUCCCACUAUUUCCUCAUGUUGUGAGAGGAACCCGGUGGGAAGUGAUUGAAUUAUGGGGGCAGUUUCUCACAUA